CCGGACCGGCGCACGGGUGAGUAACACGUAUGCAACCUGGCCGUCACAGGUGGAUAACCGGAAGAAAUUCCGACUAAUACAGCAUAACACUCCUGAGGGACAUCCUUCGGGAGUCAAAGGAGGCAACUCCGGUGACGGAUGGGCAUGCGGCGCAUUAGGUAGUUGGUAGGGUAACGGCCUACCAAGCCGACGAUGCGUAGGGGUUCUGAGAGGAAGGUCCCCCACAUUGGAACUGAGACACGGUCCAAACUCCUACGGAAGGCAGCAG
rnacentral:rRNA from 1 species